rnacentral:rRNA from 1 species
GAUGAACGCUAGCUACAGGCUUAACACAUGCAAGUCGCGGGGCAGCAUGGGGGUUGCUUGCAACCCCUGAUGGCGACCGGCGCACGGGUGAGUAACGCGUAUCCAACCUGCCCUUCACCACGGGAUAACCCGGCGAAAGUCGGACUAAUACCGUAUGUUGUCCAUUGACGGCAUCCGAUUUGGGCGAAAGGCUUGGCGGUGCAAGGAUGGGGAGGCGUCCGAUUAGCUUGACGGCGGGGUAACGGCCCACCGUGGCUACGAUCGGUAGGGGUGCUGAGAGGAAGGUCCCCCACACUGGAACUGAGACACGGUCCAGACUCCUACGGGAGGCAGCAGUGAGGAAUAGUGGUCAAUGGGCGUAAGCCUGAACCAGCCAAGUAGCGUGCAGGAUGACGGCCCUAUGGGUUGUAAACUGCUUUUAUGCGGGGAUAAAGUGGCCAACGUGUGGGCUUUUGCAGGUACCGCAUGAAUAAGGACCGGCUAAUUCCGUG